AUGAUCUUUGAUGUCUCUCCUUUCCUAGUCUUGGAAUUGUGGGAGUAUUCAGGAGGCUCAAUUUUUAUGGUAGUAAAACACCUCUACAAACAAACAAACAAAAGGUUCACCAAAAAUAGAAGAGGACAUCAAACCAACAAAAUGAUCAGGUGCUUCUCCAAUUUAAUUGUUUGGAAGCAGUCACUGGAAGCAACACUAUGUGACUCAGCUUUGGUGAUACAGUCCAGCUGGGGUCUGACAGAUGUUAUUUCUUUGGAGACCAAGUCACAUGGGAACCUCUUUGCCUACCUUCCCUUUCAGGAUCCAAAUAUCCCACUCCAAAUAUUCAGAAGCAAAAUGUGA
rnacentral:lncRNA from 1 species